rnacentral:lncRNA from 1 species
CUUAGUUGCUGGUUGCAAUAAGUUCACAUGUAAUGAAAAUACCUUCUAAUCCUGCACCACUACAAACUUGUGCUGUAAGCAUUCAGACAGCUGCUACAUAGAACACACUGAGAGGUUCAGCCAUUUUCAGGUCCUGAGUGUGUACUGUGGUACUGUGUACCUUUGCUACUCUGAGCAGUUCUGGCUGAGAAUUUCUGGAUGCAUCAUGAUGGAAUGCAAGCAGUGGAAGCAUAUCAUUUCUCUUCAGAUAAAUCGUUCCUCAACUUCAAACUCCACUGCUUCCUCACUGCAACUAAAAGCUUAGAAGAGUGUUUUCUGCACUGAAAAACAGGUUUGAACAGAGUAGACCAUGAGAACACUCUCUAAAUUCCUAGUUCAAGUUAGGAAAUGAGGUUUGUGCAAGCAGCUAAUCUUAUCAACCUCUAAAUUAAUCUGAUUUUUAUUAAAAAAAAAACAAAAACAAAACCCACUUAAAACAGAGGUUACAGUUGUUGAGUAAUUAAUAAA